rnacentral:rRNA from 1 species
GACGAACGCUGGCGGCGUGCUUAACACAUGCAGGUCGAACGGAAAGGCCCUGAGUUUGUGGGGUGCUCGAGUGGCGAACGCGGGAGUAACACGUGAGUAACCUGCCCUUGUCUUUCGGAGAACAUCACGAAACGGGGGCUAAUAUCGGAUAGGAGCUCCUGCUCCAUGGUGGGGGGUGGAAAGUUUCGGCGGUUGGGGAUGGACUGGCGGCUUACGAGCUUGUUGGUGGGGUAGGGGCUUACCAAGGCUUUGAAUGGUAGGCGGCAUGAGAGGGUGACCGGCCACCUGGCGACUAAGGGACGGCGCAGACUCGUACGGUAGGCAGCAGUGGGGAGUCUUGCACAGUGGGCGGGAGCCUGAUGCGACGGCGCCGCGUGCGGGAUGACGGCCUUCUGGUUGUGAACCGCUUUCGCCUGUGACGAAGCGUGAGUGACGGUAAUGAAUAAAGAAGCACCGGCUAACUACGUG